UACGUAGGGUGCGAGCGUUAAUCGGAAUUACUGGGCGUAAAGCGUGCGCAGGCGGUUAUAUAAGACAGUUGUGAAAUCCCCGGGCUCAACCUGGGAACUGCAUCUGUGACUGUAUAGCUAGAGUACGGUAGAGGGGGAUGGAAUUCCGCGUGUAGCAGUGAAAUGCGUAGAUAUGCGGAGGAACACCGAUGGCGAAGGCAAUCCCCCUGGACCUGUACUGACGCUCAUGCACGAAAAGCGUGGGGGG
rnacentral:rRNA from 1 species